GUGUCAGCAGCCGCGGUAAUACGGAGGGUGCAAGCGUUGUUCGGAAUUACUGGGCGUAAAGGGCGUGUAGGCGGUUGUGUAAGUCAGACGUGAAAUCCUUCGGCUCAACUGAAGAACUGCGUCUGAAACUGCAUGACUAGAGUGCAGAAGAGGGAAACGGAAUUCCUGGUGUAGAGGUGAAAUUCGUAGAUAUCAGGAGGAACACCGGUGGCGAAGGCGGUUUCCUGGUCUGACACUGACGCUGAGGCGCGAAAGCGUGGGGAGCAAACAGGAUUAGAUACCCUGGUAGUCCACGCCGUAAACGGUGGGUACUGGGUGUGGGAGGUGUAAUGCCUUCUGUGCCGAAGCUAACGCGUUAAGUACCCCGCCUGGGGAGUACGGCCGCAAGGUUGAA
rnacentral:rRNA from 1 species